UUGGAUCUUGUAUGAAUGGUUGGACAAAAGAAAAUCUGUCUUUAUAUUGUUUAUUGAAUUUAACUUUUAAGUGAAAAGGCUUAAAUAAAUUAAAGGGACGAUAAGACCCUAUAAAGCUUAAUAUUAAUAUUUUACUUGGUUAAAUUUUCUUGCUCAUAAAAACUUAGUAAUUGAAUUUAUUUUAUUGGGGCGAUAAAUGUAAAAUGGCUACUAACUGCUUAAUUUUUUAUACAUUUAUAAAUGAAUUAGGAAAUAAAUGAUCCUUAAUAUAAAGAUUAAAAGUUUAAGUUACUUUAGGGAUAACAGCGUUAUCUUUCUUAAGAGUACAUAUCGAAAGAAAAUUUUGCGACCUCGAUGUUGAAUUAAAAUACCUUUAUAAUUGCAGCAGUUAUAUAAGUAGGUCUGUUCGACCUUUAAAAUUUUACAUGAUUU
rnacentral:rRNA from 1 species